UUUGACGUUACCUACAGAAGAAGCACCGGCUAACUCCGUGCCAGCAGCCGCGGUAAUACGGAGGGUGCGAGCGUUAAUCGGAAUUACUGGGCGUAAAGCGCAUGCAGGCGGCCUGUUAAGUCAGAUGUGAAAGACCCGGGGCGUUAACCUCGGAAUUGCAUUUGAAACUGGCAGGCUAGAGUCUUGUAGAGGGGGGUAGGAAUUUCAGGUGUAGCGGUGAAAUGCGUAGAGAUCUGAAGGAAUACCAGUGGCGAAGGCGGCCCCCUCGGACAAAGACUGACGCUCAGAUGCGAAAGCGUGGGGAGCAAACAGGAUUAGAUACCCUGGUAG
rnacentral:rRNA from 1 species